CCCCUGGGGCGGUUGGUGCGCCGUGAGGUGCCCGGAGGCUGCGGUCCAGCCGGCCCACCCCGGGGCAGGGCUCUAGCUGUCGUGCGGGAGCCCCGCGUACCACAGUAGCGAGGGCAAAGCCUGCACCGACUGCUUUGUCGUCUGUUUAUCCCUGCCCUUGUCCCUCCAGAAUGCACGUGUGCAGCCCCGAGGCCUGCAAGCCGUGCGGGGCCUCUCUGGGCACAGCUGUGGCACGUGCUGAUUGAAGGGCUAUCGCAGCGGGUACUCCAACAAGUCCCCACAGUGUCAGGCUGAGGACUGGAAAGCCUGUUAUCAGCAGUAGAACGUUUCCUGUGAAAGCAAAGACUUCCUCUUCAACCUCUGUCCCACAAAAGUGUCUGAAGGAAAUGAUAUAAAACCCUGUCAAAAGAUUGAACUUCUAUUUCUAGCUUUAUGAGACAUUCAAACUAACUAACGAAAACCAACUAGCAUUUUGGUUUCCCAACACUUUCCCCUCCACUCCCACUGUUACACAAGAAUGGGAUCUUAGGACUAAGUGCCCUGUGGCCCACCGGAUUGCUGAAGUCAUUUGAAAACAAAUACGGAUUUGAAUGAUAUGUGAUGUGGCCAAAUAUCUAUCUUGAAACCAUUCUCAUCAGUACGUUUUUGAGGGAACACGUACACAGAUUGAAAGAAUGGAGAAGAUAACAAGAGACAAGAAACUGUGAAGAAUAUGACAUCCUAGGAAAAUGAUGAUGCGUAACUACUCAAUGGGAAAAAACAGCCCUGGCCACAGGAGAAGCAGCUUAGUAUGAAGACCCAAGUGUUCAAACAGCAAGCAGAUAACAGUGACAGACACAUCGCUGAAAACUGGAACUCUCUGAUACUGCUAAGAGCGCUGGAGUUCAGUUUGACUCUGCUUCCCAGAUACAGCCGACCUCAGAGACAACACAUUUGUCUUUAUCUGGACUAAGAAUCUUUUCCCCUUAUGACAAAAAAUGACAUCAACCUCAACAUAUCUUACUAAGAACAGCUUCAAGUCCAAGAAGACGUGCCUUUGUAAAGAGAGGUUGCUAUGGUGCUGUAUGCAGUGUCUGGAAAUCAGAAUUGGUGAAGAUAUAUUGUAGCUAAAAGAGACAAGAUCUCACAUGGUUCAUCAUUACUUCUUGUCAGUAAGUCAGCUUGGGGUUGCAGAAUGAAGGAGAAGCUUCAGCCUUAGAAACUCAGAGCUGCUAAUGAUAAAUUGCAAUCUGCCACGUGCUUCUUGUACAGGAUAGACAGUUGUGGCAACAAAAGACAAAGAAAGGCUAGAAAAACUGCAGCAGAUGUUUGUGCCUUGCACUGGUGUGGACAUGGAAGGAGUCAUGACAACACACAGCUAGUACUGAGGCAGAUCACAACAGUGUCUUCUACAGUAGAACUGGGACUUGAUGAGGACCUAAGUACAUUCAUCUCCCAUUCCUGCAAGUGAGUGAUGAAGGAAGUACAGAGAUCUGUAAAGAACAAGACAGUGGCAGAAACGAGGAACUAAGGAGUCAGCCGAGCAGGAUCAUGGGCUGCAGACACAUUGAGGAGCAGCUGAGAGAAGUACCUGGAGCUGGGGCUGUCUUUGUGUUCCCUGUCAGCCUGGGCAACUCCUGAGAUCCUGGCACCUCUGGUGCUGGGAAGAUGCCAGCCUGCACAGUGCCGUGACAGGUCAACAGCAAAGAUACUGCUCAGGACUGUACAUGGGAUGACAAAAAACAGAGUGGUAUA